GAUGUGGGCUGAACAGUAUAUACAUUUCUACCAUCUGUCAGUCACAGUAAUCCUUCAUCUCCGCCUCCGUUCUCUAUCAAACAUCGAGUUCAGUCUGACAACAUUUUAUUUUAACUGUAAAUCUAAUCUGAAUUUAAUCUGCUGUUCCUGUUUUUCAGGUUUCAUCUGAUGUUUUAUUGUUCAACGGCACCGAACUUCAAACCUCGCAGUGCAUCACGGAAGUAACAAACAUUUUCCUGCUAUUUGGAAAAGCAGCUGCAGGAACGUGAUGAAAAUCCGAUGCAACGCUGUCAGGAUGAGGCAGAGAAGCUGCACUGAGCUCUCUCUCGCUCUCUGACAGACGGCGGUGAAGUGGGUUAUGGGAGCAGCAGGCUGCUGCAGCCGUCAUCCUGUCAGUCUCAGGGUUGAUUGAAUCAGAUGUGUACAGGAAGCCCCACCACCACCACCACCCCCCUGUCCAUACACGCUCUCCUCCAACUGAUUAAAGCACCAAGUGACAUCGGACCCAAACAAUCCCACCUCCUGUUCACGGAGGAGGAUCAACAGUUAGUGUCAGAGGGUUCAUCCGUCAGGUUUGGGACAGGUGGCGUCAAAACAAGAGUCGGCCCCAUGUAAACCAAUCAGAGCGGGUUUUUUGUUUUCUAACAACCCAGAAAAGGUUCCGGUUCCAGAAUAUAAUCUGUUUCCAUCAAAAAUAAAUCCAUACAGAACCACAAACAUGGUUCUCAUCAGGAACCUGAAACUACAGAGACCCAAAGAGGGGCAAACAGUUUCUCAGUCUUCCAGGUCAGAGUAGUCCAAAGUGCUUUAGUCACUCUCCUCUGAAAGGCUUCCUCUGGUUAACCUGUUAAGUUUUAACCUCCCGAGACUCCCGAGCAUGCCAGGCCAUCUUUGUGAGUUGUUACCUGACCCUGCCAUGCCCACAUGAUGGACCACAGCCAUGUUUUUAAUCUGACCUCGCUCUUAUUUUGAAAGUUCAGUUAUAUGCACAUCAUAUGGCCCCAGCUCUUCCUGCGUCGUGUUUUCUGACUGGCUGGAUUGCUGGUCAGGGUCAUCUGAUGUCAUUCAGCUAUUUCUUCAAAGAGUCACAUGAUUGGGUCGACUCUGUCUCCACCAGUGACUGGGUUCUACUGUUUCUAGUCUCCAUUACACACACAGCAGCGUUUUGGAUCAGGAGCUUUGAGAGCAGCCUGAUGACUGCAUAUUCAGUUACUUGAAGAUUCAUUUGAUAUGUAGGUCCUCAGUUUUACAUUUUGGGGCAUGGAUUAUAUGUUUUUUGGUGCCCAGCUCGACUUUUCCUUUUUGUUUUUUUUCUUCCCACUCUCACAAUUGUUUUUUGGGCAUCGUCUUGUUGAAGUAUGACUUGCUGCUGUGCGAUGAAGCAUGCUGACUCUAUGUAACUCAGCGUUUGAUGAUAAACUGAGCCUUGUGGCCGGACUGGCUGCUGACUGUGCACAGCGUCAGCCGGUAAGCCGCUCGCCGAGGCCUCAACCAGCCCGGCCGUGCCGUCAGGUUAUCAACAGCAAGCCGGACUGGAAAACCUUAUCAAGGAAAAAGUCAAUACCGUCGCCUCUCCUGAUGCUGUGCCCUUUACAGGAAAGAAAAAUGAUUCAACGAGGACCUGAUUCUAAUCUCCGUGGAAAGAAGUCCUUUAAAUUACAGCUUUCAAGUGCGAGUCAUGAGAAAAGAAAACAUCUUUCCAUUACGUCCUGCCACUGCAUGCAGAGAGAUGACAGAGUGCUGUGGCGAGGGAAACAGCAGCGCGGCAGUCAACACGGGUUAAUUCAUCGCAGCCUCUCGCCUCCUGCCGCAUCAGCACUUUUCUCUGGAAAUCGCUGUUUCCUGCUCUGUAAUAAGGAGCCGUCACUCGGAUGGAGGGCCGAGCGCCUGCAGCAGGUGAUCUGCAACCUGUUUACCAGCCGCACACGGCUCCUCAGACCGAAGCAUAGAAAUACCUACCAUUAAUAACACCUGUGAUUAAAAAGGAAAUCAAGUCUUAAUUUCACCUUGUGUGAAAUAACUUGUGGUUAUUUUAUUUUGUGCAGCAGAUAAAAAAAGUAUUCCCUUGCAGGACUUUAAAGUAUUUCUAUUUGACAUGUUUGUAAUUCCAUGAAUAAUUACAGACUUUGGAUCAGAUCACAGUAUUUGCUGAACAGCAUGCAGCCUGUAAGGUCCUAUGAAUGAUGUAUUUAAUAAGCAUGAAGUAAACCUGUCUAAAAUGGACAGCAUGUGCAGGAAGUGGAGAGCUUUGUAGUGAUUUUAAUGAAAGAAAAACUGAUUUCCAUCUUUCCCUAAACUGUAAGCCGGCUCUUUGAAAUGCUGCCCCAAUUUCCUGAAUUCCAUCUUGUCUUCUUUGCAGGACUUAAUGAAGGUAAUGCGGCCGAAAAGACGCCGCACAAACCGGCCGAUCUCCACUUUCUGAAGCAGAAUUAAUCAAAACAAAGCUGGCGGCCCCGGUCCCAUCUGAAGGUAUGUGAUACACCCGGGUAAAGAACAGCCCUGCCCUCCCUCUGGAGGAGUCAUCACAGGCUUUCCUGCCAUGUUGCUCUUAAUUAAAGCCGAGCGUGCCUUCCAGGAAUGAUUAAAACGAGUCUGCAAACAAAAAAGGGGACGAUUUGCCACUGCGACAGCACGGGGACAAAAGAGAGCAGAUUUACGCUCCUCUGAGACUGAACAGGGAUCUGCUGCUUCGUGAGGCUGAUAUGUGGAUGCCCUUUGGUUGUUACCCUAUCAGCCCAAAUACACACACACACACAUACACACACGUACACACACAUCUCAAAAGUCAACUCUGAGGAUUUAAAGCUGCAAAACCACAAAUUAUAUGAGCACAGAUCAAACAGAAAGAGCUUAGCUAAAGGAAGUGUCCACAUAAUCAAUGACGCCUUUAAAAACUUCAAAAUAAGAGCAUGAGAAGCGCCAACAUUUGCUGCAUCACAAAGUGAAUUUGUGGGGUGCUUCUGAGACACGUUUCACCUGCAAUGAAAGCUAACAGGGACAAAAAGUCCUGGAUGUUUGAAAAACUUCAUGACAAACACGAAGUGCCAAGUCCUCAUAAGUUUCAGAAACUCAAAUAAAGAAAGUGGAGAUUGUGUCUACUAUGGUUUCCAUUAGGACUGGAUUUUUGCAGUUUAUUGUUGAAUCUAAUCAAAAUGACUUUCACAAGCCUCAAAGUCAUGACUCUGAGUAUCUUAUUUUGUCUGACCGUUAGUUUGAAACUCACAGAUGUUCAGUUUGUUGCCUGUGGAUGAAAAAACAAAACAAAACAUUCUUCUGGACCUUUCAGCAGCCCAGACUCCUCAAGAACCUGUGAACUUUGUAUAAAUCUGAGCACUAUUCACACCUCAUCAAAAAUCUCCAUCACAUGUUCCCAGAGUCAAAGGUGACAGCUGUGGAUAAUUUAGAUAUUUCCAAGGCUGUGGAUGUAUCACAAACUCUUCAUGGAUUCAUGCAUGGUCAAGCCUUUAGGAAUUCUCAAAGGAUUUCUUGAACACUCAGCUUUAACUAUAGACGGACAGAGAGUAAGCGGUCCAUUUUUUCAGCUUCAGGACAAAUAAUUAAAUCUGUAGGCUUAACCAUGAAUUGUACAAAUUCAUUCUAGAUGGCGUCCACAGCAAACAGAAUUGCUACUUGGUUUUUUUUGAAAGACGAGUUUUGGAUUGUUUGUCACACAAAAUCAGAUUUAAAAUCACAAGCUUGAAUAUGGGAACUCGUGAUGCGUCCCUAACUUUACAGUCCGAUGAAGAGCUAAUGACGUUCACAGAAAAAACAGAACACAGUGGGAGUUUUAACUAUAAGAUGAAAAAAAACAGAGCAGUGGUUUUACUUCAUCUGCUGCAAUAACAAACUGAAGAUCUGAGGUUUGGAUUCUGGAAACCUGUGACAGCCAAAAUAGUCAUUAUUGUGAUUAUCGUGAUUAGCUGCAGCUGUCUGAUUGGAGAACAGAGCUGUCAGUCACUUCCUGUCCCUCUCUCUGAAAGCGAGAAGCUCUCUGUGGUACCCAUGCCUGGGAAAUCUGCUCCUUCGUUUUCUCUAAGCAAGAUGAUGGGAUCUGGGCGUGUCCCAGCAUGCACCAAGGCACCCCGGAUCGGUCUCCAGCCCGGACACUCCGGAUCAUACUGACGGAUGAGUUAGCGUCCUGCAUUGGGACAUCAGACUGAAGCACUUCCUGCUGAGGCGCUCAGUCUGAAAUACAUCAGUGGGUUUAGAGUGUUUGAGCAGAAGAAGCAGAAGAGGGAGGGCCUGAAGGUCUCAGUGUGGAGAGGACACAUCAGGAGGAAAAGUGAGGGGGUAACUGAGACGUGAGCUUUGGGCUGAGUUGGGCUUUAAACGGAGGACCUGGCUGAUAUUUUUAGGGGAACCGAGUAAGCGUUUAAUCUCUCAUAAUCCUUUGUUUGUAUUUUUAAGCUCAUCACCUGCUAGCAGAUCAAUGCAGCACACCGAAAACUAUGAUAUUUACUUCUGUAUUAUAAAGAAGAGAACAUUUCAAGUAAAGUACUUGUAAAUUUUAAGCAUGUGCUGCUUCUUUGUGCCGCUGAACAUCGAGGCCAUGAAGGUAAUUAUCCAAUCAAGGUUUCCUAAGAGGCACAAGAAGGAAGAAAAAAGGGCAAAGUUAUUUUUUUUUUAAAAACUAUAGAUUGGCCUCAACAGAGAAAAGCUGGUCCUUUACACCGGUCUGCUUUGUUAAACCACAGUUAGUCCAGCAGAAAUCCCUAAACCUUCACACGGCUUAAUCAGCCCUGCAGGAGCCGGUAAUGAGCCGCUGAGGGAUUAGACCCCCGAGUUUGUUUUCAGAUGCUGGGAAAGAUCUCCUGCUCGCUGGUACAACCACGAUGAGGAAACAUGGAGGGUACCGCUUCCUGAAAUCUGGAUGGAUGGACGGACGUCAUGGCCCGCCUCUGGCCCACGCUCUCCAAUGUCCAGCUAAUGAGCAGAGCUGAAGUCUGACUCAGUAUACCAGGCUGACCUCUGACCCUCACUGACUAAUCUAUGUGCAAAACUGAAAUAAGUGAAGGAUAAUACCAAGGAAGCAGAGUCUCUAAACGGCUGUAAACUGUUUCUGAGGUAAGCAGGCAGUUUUUAAACACCUGCCUCUCUGUAUUUACCCCAUCACUAUUUCCCCACCUUCAGCCACGUCUCAUGUCUUUAAUCACCGCACCAGUGCCUCACUAACCAGCUCCAAAAGUCUCAGCUGAUUUUCACUGAUUUCAAUGAAAAAUGAGCAAAGAACAGACUCCACAGCAGGUGGGCCUGAUUUCUUAUCUGAUCUUAGACACUCCCCGGGGCCAAAUCUGCCUUUAUGUUCUCAUUAUUUCAGUUUUAUGUCCAUAUGUUGCUUAUUUACAGAUUAAUCAGUGUAAUCUUGUAAUUAGACAGUAAACCAGAGUUUAGACUGGAUCAUAAAGGCCUUUGGGUGGGUGACAGAACUACACUGAAGGCGAUGAGUCCUCCUGUUGUUCUGAGCACUUGGUAAAUAAAUUCUUCUCGGCUGACUGCUUGCUUUUGGUUUUUUAAUACCUCUUCAUUUGCUUUGCUUGUAAAAUCUUACUUUUAAUUAGUAAUUGUAUGUACAGCUGCUGAUCUGAGGAAUUAAAUGCAAUACUUGGAUAAAUAUACUUGACACACUUUAGCAGUCUUACUACUGCCAGUAUGAACAGUAAAAUCUUGAUGUUUACAUACACUGGGAAGCUGCUUAAUGUCAAAAACCCGUUUGUUUGUUUGUUUUUAAACAUUUUUGGUGGAAGUGAUGAAAAAAAAAAAAUGUUGCAUAUAUAUAACCCGACUGUUUAUUACAGAACUGAGAUUAGAAGCCCCAAAGAGUCCUUGAGAGACAAAACUUGGAAAAAGACAAUUCCAGCUGACAUGAAAACUGCACGUUUGUAUCCACAAGUUUAAUCUGAGCGUAGCACUAACACACUCCGGAUUACUGAGACGCUCCUGCAUGCACACACCUGCUCUUCACAAACCAGGUUACUACAGCGCAUGAUGACCGAUUUCUGAGUAACCUGGUUUCGUAUGAGCGAGUAAACACAGUGACUGCUGUCCCACAGAGCGGCACACAAAGCAAACAGAGCAGCUGCUCACAGCUGGAGGAGAGAGCAGAGAGUGUGCAGUAGCAGCUCACACAAGCAGACGGUCAGGGUUGAUUUUCUGCUGAAAUCUACUUUAAAAAGCAGCAGAAAUGACUUCAGCAUGCAUCACAAACAUGAACCAGGAUACACCAAAAAGCACAAAACAAAACAAAAAGCUGAAGACCUGUAGAUUUCAGCUCUUCUCGUGGUUAUGGAGCAGGAGGUGAUCACUCCUGCUAAAUAACACUGUCCUGUUUUAGAGUUGUCAGAAUCCUGGAGGCUCAGCAGCGAUCACAGCGUAACGGAUAAAUACAAAAUUAAAUAAAUGAUAAUUUUUUAUUCAGUGAAGUUUAAGCACCUCAUCUGCCCGCCUGCAUCAUUUAGAGUCGUCAAAUCUCACUCGAAACCUUAUGAAACACGCCUGAGGCAGCACGACGUUUCCUCUGUGAUGGUAAAUGGUAAGUGGCCUGCAUUUGUAUAGCGGUCCCUAAGGACCCCAAAGCGCUUUACACUACAUUCAGUCAUUCACACAUUCACACACUGGCGAUG